AAAUUUGGGUAGGUUGAACAGGUCAUGGUCAAUUUUGACAACAGUAUACACCAACACAAACAAAUCAAUUUUUCAAGCUACACAAAAUAAAUCCGUCUAAGGAGACCUUAUUCUUGCUAAAAUUAUUAAACGAAACUAAACACCAACAUUAAAGUAAAAGUAACGAAAAAUGGGUUGCAGGAUUCAGAUUUCUCUAUUUUUCCACAGAACAAAAAAUUACUCAGAGAUCCACAUAAAAUUAAAAUUUAUAUCUUAGAAUUAAGGUCAAGAAGACAGAUCUUAGAUUUACCGUGUCCCUUUAUCUUCAAUUGAUUUUGUGAACGGUUAAAUAGAUCUGGAAAAAAUAGGAAAACCCUAGUAGAUCUGAUACAUGAGAUGGGUUAAGAAGAUUCGUUACCUCGUUGAAGCAACAGACAAUUGAAACUACAGCGAAGCUGAAGCUGAAGCGGAGAUACAGAGGCUGAGCCAAAAUAU
rnacentral:lncRNA from 1 species